UAGGGAAUCUUCGGCGAUGGGGGCAACCCUGACCGAGCAACGCCGCGUGAGUGAAGAAGGUUUUCGGAUCGUAAAGCUCUGUUGUAAGAGAAGAACGUGUGUGAGAGUGGAAAGUUCACACAGUGACGGUAACUUACCAGAAAGGGACGGCUAACUACGUGCCAG
rnacentral:rRNA from 1 species